UGACCUCGGAUCAGGUAGGAAUACCCGCUGAACUUAAGCAUAUCAAUAAGCGGAGGAAAAGAAACCAACAGGGAUUGCCCCAGUAACGGCGAGUGAAGCGGCAACAGCUCAAAUUUGAAAUCUGGCCCCCAGGGCCCGAGUUGUAAUUUGCAGAGGAUGCUUUUGGCGCGGCGCCUUCCGAGUGCCCUGGAACGGGACGCCAUAGAGGGUGAGAGCCCCGUCUGGUCGGACGCCAAGCCAGUGUAAAGCUCCUUCGACGAGUCGAGUAGUUUGGGAAUGCUGCUCUAAAUGGGAGGUAUAUGUCUUCUAAAGCUAAAUACCGGCCAGAGACCGAUAGCGCACAAGUAGAGUGAUCGAAAGAUGAAAAGCACUUUGAAAAGAGGGUUAAACAGUACGUGAAAUUGUUGAAAGGGAAGCGCUCGUGACCAGACUUGGGCCCGGUGAAUCAUCCAGCGUUCUCGCCGGUGCACUUCGCCGGGCUCAGGCCAGCAUCAGUUCGCCGCGGGGGAUAAAGGCGUCGGGAACGUGGCUCCCCCGGGAGUGUUAUAGCCCGUCGCGCAAUGCCCUGGGGCGGACUGAGG
rnacentral:rRNA from 1 species